UCGAGCGAGCCUAACUUCAAGUCGAGCGAGUUCGAGCCCUAAACGAGCCGCUUGAAAUUUUUAACAUCGUGCAAUCUCUAGUUUAAUUUUUAUAAAACAUUAUCUAAAAUUUAAUACAAAAAAUAUCGAAUAGUUCAACAUACAAAAUGAAUGCAUGAAAUACGAUAUUAUAAUAUUAAAAAAAAAUAUUAGGAAAAGCGACUCUGCGAGGAAAUGAAAAAGAGAGAGAGCAAUUAGAGUAAGAUUUUGCCAGUUUGGUUUUGUUAACCCAAUAAUUUAAAUUCGAUGUACAUAUAAUUAAAAUACAUAAUAUAUAUUAUUUUAUAUAAUUAAAAUAUGCGCCUGUGGGCAUAGCUUCUGAAAAAGUGAUUUUGGUUUAGAGAAGUGAUUUUGGUUAAAAGCUGUAGAACGUUUAGCGAAAUUUAGAUAAAAGUGAUUUUUCUGAAGUGAUUUUAAAAAGCUGUUUGCCGAAUUUUUUUGAUGUUUGCAUAAAUUAAUAUUUUUAUUAAUUUUUAUUUUAAAAUAAUUUAAAAUCUAAAUUUAAAUUUGAAUUAAAAUUAAAAUAUUUAAAUUUCAAAAUUGUACAAAAUUUAAAAUUUGAUAUUUUAAUUUAAAAAAUAAUUUUAAAUUUUAAAAUUUUAAAAUUUAAAAUAAUUAUGAAAUUUAAAAUUUAAAAUUUAAAAUUUAAAUUUAAAAAUAUAAAUAAUUAUGAAAUUUAAAAUAUAAAAUAUUAAUAUUUAAAAAUAUAUUUAAAUUUUAAAUUUCAAAAUUUAAAUUUUAAAAUUUAAAAUUUAAAAUUUAAAUNAAUGUAAAAAUAUAAAUAAUUAUGAAAUUUAAAAUAUAAAAUAUUAAUAUUUAAAAAUAUAUUUAAAUUUUAAAUUUCAAAAUUUAAAAUUUAAAAUUUAAAAUUUAAAAUUCAAAAUAAUUAUAAAAUUUAAAAUAUUAAAUUUAAAAUUUGAAUAUUUAAAAUUUAAAAUUUAAAAUUUGAAUAUAAAAAAUUUAAAUUUUAAAAAUUCGAAAUUAUAAUUUGAAGAUUAUGUCACGCCCCGGAUUACACAAUUCCCGGGCACGUCGACAAAUCCGCCGUAUACAAAGAAUUUUACUUAUAUACGAAGCGUAUCGGUAACUGAAAAUAUACAAUACUACAACCAAUAGUAUAGAGCUGUAAAGAAACCAAACAGGUAGAAUAAAACAAGUCUUACAUACAUACAACAAAACGCUAUAUAAAGGUACUCGCUGCAGCAAGUUAUAACAACUAUAUAUACAUGAACUCAACAUAAGAAACCGAAACUACCUGCAGUGGUGUAUCGUC
rnacentral:lncRNA from 1 species